ensembl:lncRNA
GAUAGAUGUAAUGUGUGCUGACCACACAAGGAGAAAACAAAUCCUCUGGUGCUCUGAUUGGAAGCCUGUAAUCAAGCUGCAAAAAAAAUCCUUUUCCUUUCUGGGCAAAUUCGAUGGACGUGCACACGAAUCAACAACAGGGGAAUGAAAGCGGACGUUUCCCUGCGUGCUGACGGGCGGCGAGAACAGAAGUGUGUUUGUUCUCAGAACCCCACGGCCCUCCGAUGAGAAAGGAGUAUGAGGGUCCGUGGCCCGAUAAGGAGCCCAUACAAACCGGAUGGAGGUGGAGGCCGUCGGCAGCUCCGUGUUUACAUGAAAUAAAGGUAAAACUGAAAAGAAGUUGAAACCUUUCUUCGGGCCUUCAGAGCGCCGGCGUGAUGGACGGGACGCGUCGAUUUUCCCCGGCGACCGGAGUCCAACGGGAAACCUCGUCCGUUUGAAAGCUACUUGGUUUGAAGGAGGAUGGGUCGGCCAGAGAUAAGCACCUUUUCAUCAGCAGAGAGCAACAGAACGUUUCGCCAUCAACCCUCAUUUCUCAUGUUUCUUAUGUGAACAUUACUCCCUCGAUCUCUAUUUAUAGUAUCAUAUUUUCCUGCAGUACGAAUAGCAGCUGGACUCUGUGUUCAAAUAACCAACAUAAUGAGAUACUACAGAAUCCGAGAACAGUUUCUUGCAGGAUGCUAAAUUUCAUGGGACGAUCCAUCUGUUGAUGUUUCUCCUCGGACCCUUUUUUUGCACACCGACACAUUGAAAAUGGAAAGAGGGAAAACCUCCCUCUUUCCAUUUAGAAUGCUUGCCAGCUUCUAGGUGGAGAGUGAACAGCACGACUGAAUAGUAUAAAAGUGGUAACCCCCCCCUUUCUAUUUCCAGCUCUAACUCAGCACUUUGCCGCUUCUCUCCCGUCAACGUUGUUCUCUGCACUCACAUCCACUUUGGAUGUUGUUGUUCAAUCAGCAGAUAACCGAUCAUCUCUGGAGCACAACCCCUCGUUCGCUUUCUGUCCUCCUCCGUCUCACCCGUAAUGAUCCAUCUCACGAGUCGGUAAACAUCUCGCACAACAGGCACAAAACACACAACAGUUUUAUAUGUUUGAGCUGCUGCUGGAGCAGGCGGAGCAACCGCCGCGCCAACAAAACACUGCUUGCUUCCGAGUGCAAAAGAAAAAAAAAACACGCCGCCAUGGCAACCUCGGUAGCACAGUAUGCAAAUCUCCAUGGCAACCUUUGAGUGUUUGCGAGAGAGAGAGAGACAGCGAGGGAGGACGAAAAAGACGCGAAGACAGCGAGCGUCAAACAAACCACAGAUAUAAUGAUUGUUUCAUGUGCGUCACCUCAACUGCAGGAAAACAACAACGAGACAGUUUGCUUUCCUCUUCUUUCAGGAUCAACACGUCCGUGACUCUGGAGAUGUCAGAGCGGCGUGGUCUGCGGGCGGAGAUGUUCCAGCUGGGACAGACUGGCUGGAGGAGCGUGAAAUAUCUCACCAACCUGCAUUAAUCCACCACUUUGUGUUGAGGAGCAUAGAGCACCUUUGGACGAAGCUAAUCUUACAUCUUCCUUUAACUUGUCUUGUUUUUGAGGUGUUGGAUUAAACUUUUCAUCCGGUGAGAUUUGACACACUUGCUUAACCCUAAU